rnacentral:tRNA from 1 species
GCUCCUUUCGUGUAGUUGGUUAUCACGUGGGAUUUUGAUAUUUUCCUUUCCAUUAGUCUUCCCAAAACGCAAGUUCGAAUCUUGCAAGGAGCU